rnacentral:rRNA from 1 species
GAUGAACGCUGGCGGUAUGCUUAACACAUGCAAGUCGAACGGACUCUUCGGAGUUAGUGGCGGACGGGUGAGUAACGCGUGAGAAUCUGGCUUUGGGUUCGGGACAACCACUGGAAACGGUGGCUAAUACCGGAUGUGCCGAGAGGUAAAAGAGAAAUUGCCUGAAGAUGAGCUCGCGUCUGAUUAGCUAGUUGGUGAGGUAAAGGCUCACCAAGGCAGCGGUCAGUAGCUGGUCUGAGAGGAUGACCAGCCACACUGGGACUGAGACACGGCCCAGACUCCUACGGGAGGCAGCAGUGGGGAAUUUUCCGCAAUGGGCGAAAGCCUGACGGAGCAAUACCGCGUGAGGGAAGAAGGCUCUUGGGUUGUAAACCUCUUUUCUUAGGGAAGAACAAAAUGACGGUACCUAAGGAAUCAGCAUCGGCUAACUCCGUG